CUGACGGCACCCAUUCACUGCAGAGCAUCCAUUGAUGAGACACUGAUACAAUGCUACAUUUCUACAAACCUGAUGAAGAAACAAACUCAUCCUGAUCUCUGAUGAACUGAGAGAUAACUACUGCUUUAAGACUUCAGGAAGUUCAGGUACAUUCAAUUAUAAUUAUCCUGACUUCUAAAUGUAGAACUAAAAUGUGCAUGUAUUAUAUAUUAUAAUUCUUAUGUAUAUUACAUGCUUAACAAUAAAAAAGUGUAUAUUUAACUAAAUCGAAAACAAAACCAAAUCGAAAGGUUUUCUUCAGAACACUUUAAAAUCCAGCAAGUGACGGAAACAUAGCAUUAAACAUCAGUCUGCCGCGUCUGCAUGACAUGAUUUUAAUGUGAAACACUUUUCAUACAUUGCACUUAUUUGUUUUCUGGAAAAUAAAAUAAAAAUAAAUCAAACCGUUCAA